UGGGGAAUAUUGGACAAUGGGCGCAAGCCUGAUCCAGCCAUGCCGCGUGAGUGAUGAAGGCCCUAGGGUUGUAAAGCUCUUUCACCGGUGAAGAUAAUGACGGUAACCGGAGAAGAAGCCCCGGCUAACUUCGUGCCAGCAGCCGCGGUAAUACGAAGGGGGCUAGCGUUGUUCGGAUUUACUGGGCGUAAAGCGCACGUAGGCGGACUAUUAAGUCAGGGGUGAAAUCCCGGGGCUCAACCCCGGAACUGCCUUUGAUACUGGUAGUCUUGAGUUCGAGAGAGGUGAGUCGAAUUCCGAGUGUAGAGGUGAAAUUCGUAGAUAUUCGGAGGAACACCAGUGGCGAAGGCGGCUCACUGGCUCGAUACUGACGCUGAGGUGCGAAAGCGUGGGGAGCAAACAGG
rnacentral:rRNA from 1 species